rnacentral:rRNA from 1 species
ACCCGCUGAACUUAAGCAUAUCAAUAAGCGGAGGAAAAGAAACCAACAGGGAUUGCCUCAGUAACGGCGAGUGAAGCGGCAAAAGCUCAAAUUUGAAAUCUGGCUCUUUCAGGGUCCGAGUUGUAAUUUGUAGAAGAUGCUUCGGGUGUGGUCCCGGUCUAAGUUCCUUGGAACAGGACGUCAUAGAGGGUGAGAAUCCCGUAUGUGACUGGGUACCUACGCUCAUGUGAAGCUCUUUCGACGAGUCGAGUUGUUUGGGAAUGCAGCUCAAAAUGGGUGGUAAAUUUCAUCUAAAGCUAAAUAUUGGCCAGAGACCGAUAGCGCACAAGUAGAGUGAUCGAAAGAUGAAAAGCACUUUGGAAAGAGAGUUAAACAGUACGUGAAAUUGUUGAAAGGGAAGCGCUUGCAAUCAGACUUGCGCCUAGUUGAUCAUCCGGGCUUCUGCCCGGUGCACUCGAUUAGGCUCAGGCCAGCAUCGGUUUGGGUGGUUGGAUAAAGGUCUCUGUCAUGUACCUCUCUUCGGGGAGAACUUAUAGGGGAGACGACAUGCAACCAGCCCGGACUGAGGUCCGCGCAUCUGCUAGGAUGCUGGCGUAAUGGCUGU